rnacentral:sRNA from 1 species
UGCCCCUUUUCCCCACCCUGUGAGUAAAAUUGCCCCCACCUUGACUUGCCAGGCCUCAGUGACAACCGAAAGACCCAAGAAGGGGAAACGGACCAGCCGCAUGUGGUGCACCCAGAGCUUUGCCAAGGAUGACACCAUUGGACGGGUUGGUCGUCUCCACGGCUCUGUUCCCAACCUGUCUCGCUACCUGGAGUCUCGGGACUCCUCAGGCACCCGUGGGCUGCCACCCACAGACUAUGCCCACCUGCAGCGCAGCUUCUGGGCCCUGGCCCAGAAGGGUAAGUGCAUGCUGGGGGAGCUGAUGGGGAGCGGACAGGAGCGAGCGAGGACUCUGAUGGUCUGCCCCACCUCCUGUAGUGCACAGCUCCCUCAGCAGCGUCCUGGCCGCCCUCACCACGGAACGGGACCGACUGAGGGACAUGCACCAGGGCUCAGAGUUGUCAAGGAUGGCGGUGAGGCCUGGGGGACAGGGUGGCUGGUGGGGGGAGAGGGCUUGAAGCUGAGGACUGCCAGCCUGGGGUCCGAUAGCAGAUCUGGGUCAGGGUUGGGAGGGGGUUGGCAGAGGAAGUCUCUGCAGA